rnacentral:misc_RNA from 1 species
GAUGAAGAACGUAGCGAAAUGCGAUACGUAAUGUGAAUUGCAAAUUCAGUGAAUCAUCGAGUCUUUGAACGCACAUUGCGCCCCCUGGUAUUCCGGGGGGCAUGCCUGUCCGAGCGUCAUUGCUGCCCUCAAGCACGGCUUGUGUGUUGGGCCCCGUCCUCCGAUCCCGGGGGACGGGCCCGAAAGGCAGCGGCGGCACCGCGUCCGGUCCUCGAGCGUAUGGGGCUUUGUCACCCGCUCUGUAGGCCCGGCCGGCGCUUGCCGAUCAACCCAAAUUUUUAUCCAGGUUGACCUCGGAUCAGGUAGGGAUACCCGCUGAACUUAAGCAUAUCAAUAAGGGAGA